GACGAACGCUGGCGGCGUGCUUAACACAUGCAAGUCGAACGGAAAGGCCCUGCGUUUGUGGUGUGCUCGAGUGGCGAACGGGUGAGUAACACGUGAGUAACCUGCCCUUGACUUUGGGAUAACUUCAGGAAACUGGGGCUAAUACCGGAUAGGAUCUCCCGCUGCAUGGUGGGGGUUGGAAAGUUUCGGCGGUUGGGGAUGGACUCGCGGCUUAUCAGCUUGUUGGUGGGGUAGUGGCUUACCAAGGCUUUGACGGGUAGCCGGCCUGAGAGGGUGACCGGCCACAUUGGGACUGAGAUACGGCCCAGACUCCUACGGGAGGCAGCAGUGGGGAAUAUUGCACAAUGGGCGGAAGCCUGAUGCAGCAACGCCGCGUGCGGGAUGACGGCCUUCGGGUUGUAAACCGCUUUCGCCUGUGACGAAGCGUGAGUGACGGUAAUGGGUAAAGAAGCACCGGCUAACUACGUG
rnacentral:rRNA from 1 species